rnacentral:rRNA from 1 species
UACAGAGGGUGCGAGCGUUGUUCGGAAUUAUUGGGCGUAAAGGGCGCGUAGGCGGCCUGGCAAGUGGAAGGUGAAAUCCCUCGGCUUAACCGAGGAACUGCCCUCCAAACUGCUUGGCUUGAGUCCGGGAGAGGUGAGUGGAACUGCGAGUGUAGAGGUGAAAUUCGUAGAUAUUCGCAAGAACACCAGUGGCGAAGGCGGCUCACUGGCCCGGUACUGACGCUGAGGUGCGAAAGCGUGGGGAGCAAACAGG